rnacentral:rRNA from 1 species
AUGCAGUCGAACGAAGCUUGACGGAUGAUUUCUUCGGAAUGAAACCUGAUAUGACUUAGUGGCGGACGGGUGAGUAACACGUGAGCAACCUGCCUUUCAGAGGGGGAUAACGGCUGGAAACGGUCGCUAAUACCGCAUGACGUGUUCGGAUGGCAUCAUCUGAACAUCAAAGAUUUAUCGCUGAAAGAUGGGCUCGCGUCUGAUUAGAUAGUUGGUGGGGUAACGGCCUACCAAGUCUACGAUCAGUAGCCGGACUGAGAGGUUGAACGGCCACAUUGGGACUGAGAUACGGCCCAGACUCCUACGGGAGGCAGCAGUGGGGAAUAUUGCACAAUGGGGGAAACCCUGAUGCAGCAACGCCGCGUGAAGGAUGACGGUUUUCGGAUUGUAAACUUCUUUUCUUAGUGACGAAGACAGUGACGGUAGCUAAGGAAUAAGCAUCGGCUAACUACGUGCCAGCAGCCGCGGUAAUACGUAGGAUGCAAGCGUUAUCCGGAUUUACUGGGUGUAAAGGGAGCGCAGGCGGGACUGCAAGUUGGAUGUGAAAUACCGUGGCUUAACCACGGAACUGCAUCCAAAACUGUAGUUCUUGAGUGAAGUAGAGGCAAGCGGAAUUCCGAGUGUAGCGGUGAAAUGCGUAGAUAUUCGGAGGAACACCAGUGGCGAAGGCGGCUUGCUGGGCUUUAACUGACGCUGAGGCUCGAAAGUGUGGGGAGCAAACAGGAUUAGAUACCCUGGUAGUCCACACUGUAAACGAUGAUAGCUAGGUGUGGGGGGUCUGACCCCUUCCGUGCCGGAGUUAACGCAAUAAGCUAUCCACCUGGGGAGUACGACCGCAAGGUUGAAACUCAAAGGAAUUGACGGGGGCCCGCACAAGCAGUGGAUUAUGUGGUUUAAUUCGACGCAA